rnacentral:rRNA from 1 species
CCCCUAGAUGUUCUGGGCCGCACGCGCGCUACACUGAACAGUUCAACAAGUCUUAACCUUGGCCGAUAGGUCUGGGUAAUCUUUGAACGCUGUUCGUGAUUGGGAUAGACCUUUGCAAUUAUGGGUCUUCAACGAGGAAUUCCUAGUAAACGCAAGUCAUCAGCUUGCAUUGAUUACGUCCCUGCCCUUUGUACACACCGCCCGUCGCACUUACCGAUUGAAUGGUCCGGUGAAAUCUCGGGACGGCGGCUUGGUCGCUUGCGUCCGACUGCUGAAACUUGAUUAAACCAUAUCAUUUAGAGGAAGGUGAANUCGUAACA